UAAGCAGACUCUCCUGACCAAUGAGAGACUAGACUCCCCAGCUGCUGUACCAAAGGAAAACCAUCAGCAGACAUAGAUGCUCUGAGGAAGCAGCCAUCACUACAGAGAGAUGGGAGGCCUGAUGAGAGCCCUGAGAGCACCCAUAACUCAUAAGAAGACAGUCAGUCCCACUAGUAAUGGUACCCAGGAAAAUUAAAGGAACAGGGAAAUAUUAUUUUUGACA